CAAGUGAUUUGGGGAUAGCAGGACACAGCAUAUGAAUGAAAGUGAGCAUAUAAGAACUGAUACAGGGAAGAACACUCAAAGAAGCCACAGUAGUAGUCUGAAUUUACAGGAUUAAAUGGACACCCCACUAAUAUAAAAUUAUAUUUAUACAAAAUUAAUAAAUCACGAUCUAGUGUACCCAAAUGAAAACAUGCAUGCAAUCGUUUUUGCAUUUCCCCCCCCACUGCCGCUAUAUCUAAAACCAGCUUGAACGGUCUGCAGCCUUUGCAAGCUCCCCUUCUAUCUCUGCCCAGACUUUCUGUGUUUGUCCAAUCAUAGACUUCCCAAUUAGACGUCUUUGCAAGGCAGGUGCUCUGGGCAGUUGAGUUAAAGGGACACUAUAGUCACCUGAACUUUAGCUUAAUGAAGCAGUUUUGGUGUAUAGAACAUGCCCCUGCAGCCUUACUGCUCAAUCCUCUGCCAUUUAGGAGUUAAAUCCCUUUGUUUAUAAACCCUAGUCACACCUCCCUGCAUGUGACUUGCACAGCCUUCCAUAAACACUUCCUGUAAAGAGAGCCCUAUUUAGGCUUUCUUUAUUGCAAGUUCUGUUUAAGUAAGAUUUUCUUAUCCCCUGCUAUGUUAAUAGCUUGCUAGACCCUGCAAGAGCCUCCUGUAUGUCAUUAAAGUUCAGUUUAGAGAUUGAGAUACAAUUAGUUAACCCCUUAAGGACGGAGCCAAAUGUACACGUUGUGAACAAAACAAAAUGUAAACAAAACC